rfam:Parcubacteria (Magasanikbacteria) bacterium GW2011_GWC2_41_17 TT49_C0020, whole genome shotgun sequence.
ACUUAUCCACACCUAACUUUUAAGCAUGGAAGCGGGGCGCAAAUCCCCCACUGUGCCGCAACCGUGAACCCGCGCGCCCAAAAAGCCGCGGCCAGUCGGAACUUUGUUUAAAAGUUACCCACAUACACCAACUCCCGAGCAGGAGAAAAGGACAA